rnacentral:rRNA from 1 species
CACGUAGGCGGACUCUUAAGUCGGGGGUGAAAUCCUGGAGCUCAACUCCAGAACUGCCUUCGAUACUGGGAGUCUUGAGUUCGGGAGAGGUGAGUGGAACUGCGAGUGUAGAGGUGAAAUUCGUAGAUAUUCGCAAGAACACCAGUGGCGAAGGCGGCUCACUGGCCCGAUACUGACGCUGAGGUGCGAAAGCGUGGGAGCAAACA